AGCUCUGAGGUGUUUUAGCACGAAAGAUUGCAAAUCUUCAGGAGCAGACUAAUCGUCUGCCGGGGCUU
rnacentral:tRNA from 1 species